CAGAGCUUAGAAUUUUCUUUUUCUAAACUUAUUCUUUCAGCUUCCCUGACAAUCCUCCAAGACCUGUCCUGUGGCACCAUCAGCUGAAGAAUCAAUGCCAGUGCAGGAUGUGACUAUCCACUGUAACCACGAGGAAAGUCAUCAGGAGAAAAUAAACGUGGCUUCAAGCUGCAGGUUCACAUCAAAAUCUGCAUUGGAUUCAGGUUUGCUGGCAAUAAAAAGGCAGACCCUUAAUUCA